GUUCAUAUAAAUUUUUUUCAAUUAAAUGUUCCAAUUAACUUUAAAAAAUUUAUCUCUUUCAAGAGUGAAGAUUUUUUAAAAGAAAUUGAUGUGAUUGUUCUUUCUGUGAAUGAGUGAUGGCCUAAUGAGAUUACCCCUUUACCUUUCUACCAAGAGAAGCAAGAGAUAGCAAAAGGAACAUAAAGGAGGAGGCAAUACAAGAUCCUGAUUGUAGAUACCACUAGUUUCCAGCUAGUAACUUCUCCUAAGUAUCAAGUAGACAUGUAGGCAUCAUUUCGGGUCUGAGAAUGGAGUUAUCAGGUCGAAGAGUCAAAUAUUGGUUCUUUGUGGGCAAUAAAGAUCAUUACGAGGGCUGAAGACUCUGACUCUUGAUUGAGUUUCCAGGAACCAUUCGUGAAGUUACAUUGCAG
rnacentral:lncRNA from 1 species